CUUUAGUAGGCAUCAUGAAAGGAUAAUAUGUUAUGAGAUAAUGUUCUAAAGACUAAUUUCACGAUUGCCUACAAUAAAACUGACAUUCACCAGAAGGAAGAUGGUGCCCGGAUCUGGAGUAUGCUAUGAUGGAAUGAUCUUAGCGUGAUGAUGCCAGAAUUAAAGAACUAGGCGGAAACUAAAUUGUAGGGACAGAAAAGCGUGCAAAAGCAGAGUUUUUGUGAGCCAAAGCUGCAUUUAAAACAGGGAAUGGUGAGGAUGUUUAAUAUGGC